AUUGAACGCUGGCGGCAGGCCUAACACAUGCAAGUCGGACGGUAGCACAGGGGAGCUUGCUCCUCGGGUGACGAGUGGCGGACGGGUGAGUAAUGUCUGGGGAUCUGCCCGAUAGAGGGGGAUAACCACUGGAAACGGUGGCUAAUACCGCAUAAUGUCGCAAGACCAAAGAGGGGGACCUUCGGGCCUCUCACUAUCGGAUAAACCCAGAUGGGAUUAGCUAGCAGGCGGGGUAACGGCCCACCUAGGCGACGAUCCCUAGCUGGUCUGAGAGGAUGACCAGCCACACUGGAACUGAGACACGGUCCAGACUCCUACGGGAGGCAGCAGUGGGGAAUAUUGCACAAUGGGCGCAAGCCUGAUGCAGCCAUGCCGCGUGUAUGAAGAAGGCCUUCGGGUUGUAAAGUACUUUCAGCGGGGAGGAAGGCGAUGUGGUUAAUAACCGCGUCGAUUGACGUUACCCGCAGAAGAAGCACCGGCUAACUCCGUGCCAGCAGCCGCCGUAA
rnacentral:rRNA from 1 species